CUCACUCCCUCCGUCCCUUCUCUCCCUCCUUCCCUCCCUCUCCAGAAAAUCGUUUGCGGAUUGAAGCACAGUGGCUUGGCCACUGUCGGUGUGCGGAGGAAAGCGAUUGGGGUGGGAGACCUUGGCCCAACUCUGGCCCUUGUACGUGUUUCUUGGUGUCCAAACAGGAAUCAGUUGGGAAUUUAUACUACCCCGAUGACACUUGAAUGGGCAACAACAAAGCUAUACUUCAGAAUCCUGGAAUCAUGUCAGACGAUCAACAAGAGAUCAAGAUAAAAAAAUUUGAUACUGAUAGAGGCUUCAAUACUCACCGGCGAUUGUGGAGACCUUUUCCUUGUAUAACUUAAGCAAAUAUGAAGAUUUGCAGUUAUGUGGUCCUAAAACACAUGAAAACCAUAAGUCCUUUGUAACCUAAAGGAUUUUAGGCUUGGAGCUUGGUAUAACUCUUUUGUUCCCUAAAGGAUUUUAAGCUUGGAGCUUGGUGUUGGGGGAGUUUUUGAGUUUCAUUUUGCCCAAUCUGGUUGGCGUAAUUUAUGUCGGUGUUGGGUGUUGUACCAUGUCCAUGUACAAGAAUCAAUUGAUGUUAUUUUCAUGUAUAAUAAUUGAAUUAUUCUGAAAUAAUACUUCUAAGUGCUCUAUUUCUUUUCUA